rnacentral:rRNA from 1 species
AAUGGCAGGUCAGCAUACUGCCGUGAAUACGUUCCCGGGCCUUGUACACACCGCCCGUCACACCAUGAGAGUUGGGGAUACCCGAAGCCUGUGAGCCAACAGUUAAAUGAGGCAGCAGUCGAAGGUAGAAUCAAUGAUUGGGGUGAAGUCGUAACAAGGUAUC